GACGAACGCUGGCGGCGUGCUUAACACAUGCAAGUCGAGCGAGAGAAAUUCCUUCGGGAAGGACUCUAGCGGCGGACGGGUGAGUAACACGUGGGUAACCUGCCUCAUAGAGGGGAAUAGCCUUUCGAAAGGAAGAUUAAUACCGCAUAAGAUUGUAGUAUCGCAUGAUGCAGCAAUUAAAGGAGUAAUCCGCUAUGAGAUGGACCCGCGUCGCAUUAGCUAGUUGGUGAGGUAACGGCUCACCAAGGCGACGAUGCGUUGCCGACCUGAGAGGGUGAUCGGCCACAUUGGGACUGAGACACGGCCCAGACUCCUACGGGAGGCAGCAGUGGGGAAUAUUGCACAAUGGGGGAAACCCUGAUGCAGCAACGCCGCGUGAGUGAUGACGGUCUUCGGAUUGUAAAACUCUGUCUUCAGGGACGAUAAUGACGGUACCUGAGGAGGAAGCCACGGCUAACUACGUGCCAGCCGCCGCGGUAAUAC
rnacentral:rRNA from 1 species